UAGGGAAUCUUCGGCAAUGGGGGGAACCCUGACCGAGCAACGCCGCGUGAGUGAAGAAGGUUUUCGGAUCGUAAAGCUCUGUUGUUAAGGAAGAACGAGUGUGAGAAUGGAAAGUUCAUACUGUGACGGUACUUAACCAGAAAGGGACGGCUAACUACGUGCCAGCAGCCGCGGUAAUACGUAGGUCCCGAGCGUUGUCCGGAUUUAUUGGGCGUAAAGCGAGCGCAGGCGGUUAGGUAAGUCUGAAGUUAAAGGCAGUGGCUCAACCAUUGUAGGCUUUGGAAACUGUUUAACUUGAGUGCAGAAGGGGGGAGUGGAAUUCCAUGUGUAGCGGUGAAAUGCGUAGAUAUAUGGAGGAACACCGGUGGCGAAAGCGGCUCUCUGGUCUGUAACUGACGCUGAGGCUCGAAAGCGUGGGGAGCGAACAGG
rnacentral:rRNA from 1 species